rnacentral:rRNA from 1 species
GAAUAUUGGACAAUGGGGGGAACCCUGAUCCAGCCAUGCCGCGUGUGUGAAGAAGGCCUUUUGGUUGUAACGCACUUUAAGCGAGGAGGAGGCUGCUCUUGUUGAUACCUAGAGAUGGUGGACGUUACUCGCAGACUCAGCACCGGCUAACCCUGUUCCGGCAGCCGCGGUAACACGGAGGGUGCAAGCGGUAAUCGGAUUUACUGGGCGUAAAGCGCGCGAAGGUGGCCAAUUAAGUCAAAUGUGAAAUCCCCGAGCUUAACUUGGGAAUUGCAUUCGAUACUGGUUGGCUAGAGUAUGGGAGAGGAUGGUAGAAUUCCAGGUGUAGCGGUGAAUGCGUAGAGAUCUGGAGGAAUACCGAUGGCGAAGGCAGCCAUCUGGCCUAAUACUGACACUGAGGUGCGAAAGCAUGGGGAGCAAAC